CCCUACGGGCAGCAAACAAGUCUGGCACUGGGUUUGGGGAGAGUUAUAGCCUGGCUAACCCAUCUAUCCGGGCUGGUGAGGAUAUUCCACAGCCCACAAUUUUUAAUGGCAAAUUGAAAGGUUAUCAACUGAAAGGCAUGAAUUGGUUGGCCAAUCUAUAUGAACAGGGUAUUAAUGGCAUUCUUGCUGAUGAAAUGGGCCUUGGUAAAACAGUACAGAGCAUUGCCCUUCUGGCCCAUCUGGCUGAGAGAGAGAACAUUUGGGGACCUUUCUUAAUAAUUUCACCUGCGUCUACACUUAACAAUUGGCACCAGGAGUUUACUAGAUUUGUUCCUAAAUUUAAGGUAAAUAUCAGUCCAACCAAAACAUCUAUUGCUCUUUAAAAUAAACUUUUUGACUCUC
rnacentral:sRNA from 1 species